AUCCAGACUCCUACGGGAGGCAGCAGUGGGGAAUAUUGCACAAUGGGGGAAACCCUGAUGCAGCGACGCCGCGUGAGCGAGGAAGUACCUCGGUAUGUAAAGCUCUAUCUGCAGGGAAGAAAGUGACAGUACCUGACUAAGAAGCCCCGGCUAACUACGUGCCAGCAGCCGCGGUAAUACGUAGGUGGCAAGCGUUGUCCGGAUUUACUGGGUGUAAAGGGCGCGUAGCCGGGCUGACAAGUCAGAUGUGAAAUUCCGGGGCUCAACCCCGGACCUGCAUUUGAAACUGUUGGUCUCGAGUAUCGGAGAGGCAGGCGGAAUUCCUAGUGUAGCGGUGAAAUGCGUAGAUAUUAGGAGGAACACCAGUGGCGAAGGCGGCCUGCUGGGCUUUAACUGACGCUGAGGCUCGAAAGUGUGGGUAGCAAACAGGAUUAGAUACCCCAGUA
rnacentral:rRNA from 1 species